AAAGCGUGCGCAGGCGGUUUUGUAAGUUUGUCGUGAAAUCCCCGGGCUCAACCUGGGAAUGGCGAUGAAGACUGCAAGGCUAGAGUUUGGCAGAGGGGGGUAGAAUUCCACGUGUAGCAGUGAAAUGCGUAGAUAUGUGGAGGAACACCGAUGGCGAAGGCAGCCCCCUGGGUCAAAACUGACGCUCAUGCACGAAAGCGUGGGGAGCAAACAGGAUUAGAUACCCUUGU
rnacentral:rRNA from 1 species